GAUUCUGAUGUCUGCAUUUACACAAACUGAUAGUUUUUCCAGGACGGUUCCCAAUGUAGAUUCCUUUUGGCCUCUUACUCUUAGCACUGACUUAGUCUAUUCCCACCUUCUGCCACCUUCUCAAUCUCUCUUCUCUUCCCUGCCUCAUGUUGCAAGUGCUGAAGGAUUCUGGAGCUGGGACAAUGUGCUACUACCACAGAAAGGCAGCUGGUCUGUUCCCCAACCCAUGCUGGGCAGGCAUGCAGCCCUCCUGCUGGAUAGGUGGACUUGUCUGUCAAAGCCUUUCUCUGGAUCUCAAGGUUGAAGAUGCUGAGGAAGGAGAGAAGGAUGGUGUUGAGCACUGUGGCAAUGGAAAGCAGUCAUAUGUUGUCCCAGUAGAUUCUCACAGGCAGCCCUCGCAAUUCCCUCAAUGUCUGUAAAAUUAUCAAGAACACAAAAUGCCUGCAAGGAAAUUUUUCUUUCUUCUCCAGCUGCUCUUUGAGACAGAGAUGUGUGUCAUUUAGGGGGAACCAGAGGAUUAAGCAUUAAAUUGCCUGACAGACAGAGCACUUGAGGCCCAUGCAAACUAAAUAUCUUCAUAAAGAUAAGACAAUUUCAAGAGAAGACAAUUCCAAGCUUCUUGUCAAGCAUGACUGAGAAAGAAGUGAUCUUACUAGAGGAAGAAAUGACUAGCAGCUUGAAGCACUUGAGCAAGAAAUACGAACUGUAGAGUAAAAUUCUGACACAGCCUCAGAGGAUGCUGAGAGGAGCUUUGAAAAGUUAAUUUCUCCUGAGGUUCAGGAAGCCGAAGGGAAACCCCCUGAGAAGCCAGGGGAACUGUCACCUGUCUACUCUGAUGUGUCAUCUUGCAGGAAAUGCUGUAGCCUGACAAAGUAGCAAAGGGAAAAAAAUGAGAAAAGACUAGUUCUGUGUCUUGGAAUUGACCCAGAGCGGGAGACUUGUUCCAAUACUGCAAGCUGAGCACUUCAGGCUUCAGAUGCAAACAGGCUCUGGAGAGAAACAGGCAAAUGCAAACAACACUCCAGGGAAAAGAUGCUGAUGAAAGGUAUUGUGCUGUGUGCUAAAAAAGAAAAAAGAAGAGUGCUUCAAACAGCUGAAGGGCCCACAGAGGUCUGAACAAAUGAAAAGUGGUAAAGUACAACAUGGGAGUCUUCAAAAACUGGAUUUUCAUGGGACCUUCAGAUGCUUUCCUGAAGGCUGAGGCUCCCUCUUUGCUGUGAACAGGGUGAGUGAGACUUCUGAGAGCAUGGUCCACAGCAGCUGGCAGACUGAGCAAGAAACAAAGCAAUGAGAAAUGCUGAGCCCCUCAGUAACACAAAAGCUUUACACAGGGUCACAAGGAGGUAUGUCUCCACUCAUGGUUUGCAGCCUACAGUUCUCUUCCAGAACUGGAUAAAUACUUCAUUUCAAAAGCACACAAUGUCAUAGCCCUUGCAAUGAGAUAUGAGAACUAGUGCUGCUUGCUGACACCCUUCACAACAUCCCUACACUGACAAUUCAUUUACAAGGAGGUUUGAAACCACAGCCCUCAGUUCCAGAAGACUGAACUGACCUCUCUGUCCCUCCCAGUGAAGCAGUUCCUCUGGCUACUCUCAGACACCAAGGACAUGUAAUGCUUUCUAGCCUCCCAUCUCUGUUCACAACCAGUGGUUGAUCAAGGGUCUGCGAAUGAAUAGUGAAACUCUCAAUGUCAGCUGCUAAAGGAGAUGAGUCUUGAGCAAGGUGCAGCAGAACUUUCUGUCCCAGUGGGGCAGGGGGAAGCAAGGGAGGAAAUGGGAAAAUUCAGUCAAUUGAAAAACCAUCCUGGCCAGGAAUGUCUUUGGUUUCUUAACUGCCUGAUUUAAAAAGAAAAAUACAACAACCAAACAAACAAGUGAAAAGAAGAUGAAGAAGAAGAAAAAAAAAUAGGCUGUGGUAGAAAAGGCACAGUUACUCAAUUAGUCAGUCAUUUCCAGUUCAAAUAUUUCCAUAAGUGCUUGGCAGUGUUUUUUCUAUGUAAGGGACGUCUACUGCUGGUGAAAGAUUUCUUAGAUGUCAGAGAAUUCCCCUUGAUGACAAACUCUCCUCAGACAAGCUCCAGUCUGGGCAAUUUCCCUCUGGAACCUUUCACAACUUGUUUGUUCAAGCAUUCUGAAUCUUCUUAAAAUAAAAGCCAGUUGGCUAUCAGUCGCAUUUCCAAACUGACUCACUGAGAGAGGCAGUGCUGAAGUGUAGGAAAAUUCCUAAAUUUAAGACACCAGGAGCAUGCUACAUACUUGACCUGAAUACUUUACCUUUAUAGAAAACAUUUACACAAAUCCUUGGUGUGUCUCAAAAGGGUGUACACACAAGUUGUGUUUAAGAAUCAUUUUAUCUGUUACUAAAAUUCAUUCUAAUCUGGGUUAUAACUUUGCAACUGAAAACUGGCAAUUCUUACACAGGAAAGUAUCCAGGUGGUAAGUAAAGAGAAAUACUGCCAUCUUACAUGUUCUGAGAACCUAAACUCCCUCAGAAGUUCUAAAAACCUAAAUAAUUUUAUAUUGUCCAUUGCUUUGAAUUUAGACUCCUUACAGAAAAUGUUGUGGACUUGUAGUCAGCCCCAGGAGCCGAAGAGGCUGAAGCUUAGCUCUACUAAGCUUGCCAGUCUCAGAAGAGAUUUACAAGAUAGGGAAUUCAUGACCUGGCUCUGCAAGCAGGCAACAGAUUGUGCCACUUAUUAAAACUAUUAAAGUAUAUAUGGACAUCACAGCAGUUCUGCCCUCUUCUGCUCUGCUUUUGAAUGGCUGUGUCAUGGAGAUCACCUUCUGUAGUUUGCAUGUUAACCAAAUCAGCCUUGCAGGUUUGCUGGAAAUCUAGAAGGCUUUGCCAAGAAGCUAGAAGCUGUUCUUCCCAGUUCACAUCUCCCCUCUAAGACAGCUGCCUUACAAGUCAAGCAAUGCACAUAUGAACACAACACACCUUAGUCCAAACUGAAGAGCAGAAUACAGCCAAACUCUAAUUAUUAAUCCAAGAGCAGAGCAUACCCUCACAAAGGGACAUACAGGCCAGCCAGCACAAAAGUAGGAUUAUGAACAGUAAUGACAAAAAGGAAAAUGUUAAUUAUGGUACAUGUCUCCAUUAUGAAAAAAAUGUCUAAAAAUAGCUACUCAUUUAUUCCCAAACUUCAGAAAGUGGUUACUAUGCCAGUAACAUAGGAUCGUCAAUCACAGCAUUUGUGGCUUUGUCUUAUUUUCCUUUGUUGCUUAUGCCAGCAAAUCACAUACAAGGACAGCUAAUGAAUAUUCCUCAUACUGGAGAAUGCUCUAAUGCUCUCUUAAAAAAAGAUCUAAAUGA